AUUGAACGCUGGCGGCAGGCCUAACACAUGCAAGUCGAGCGGAUGAAGGGAGCUUGCUCCUGGAUUCAGCGGCGGACGGGUGAGUAAUGCCUAGGAAUCUGCCUGGUAGUGGGGAUAACGUCCGGAAACGGGCGCUAAUACCGCAUACGUCCUGAGGGAGAAAGUGGGGGAUCUUCGGACCUCACGCUAUCAGAUGAGCCUAGGUCGGAUUAGCUAGUUGGUGGGGUAAAGGCCUACCAAGGCGACGAUCCGUAACUGGUCUGAGAGGAUGAUCAGUCACACUGGAACUGAGACACGGUCCAGACUCCUACGGGAGGCAGCAGUGGGGAAUAUUGGACAAUGGGCGAAAGCCUGAUCCAGCCAUGCCGCGUGUGUGAAGAAGGUCUUCGGAUUGUAAAGCACUUUAAGUUGGGAGGAAGGGCAGUAAGUUAAUACCUUACUGUUUUGACGUUACCAACAGAAUAAGCACCGGCUAACUUCGUG
rnacentral:rRNA from 1 species